rnacentral:rRNA from 1 species
UACGUAGGGUGCGAGCGUUAAUCGGAAUUACUGGGCGUAAAGCGUGCGCAGGCGGUUCGCUGUGUCCUGUGUGAAAGCCCGGGGCUUAACCCCGGAAUUGCACCUAAAACUACUUGGCUAGAGCAUUGGAGAGGGUAGCGGAAUUCACGGUGUAGCAGUGAAAUGCGUAGAUAUCGUGAGGAACACCAGAGGCGAAGGCGGCUACCUGGACAAUUGCUGACGCUCAGGCACGAAAGCGUGGGGAGCAAACAGG